rnacentral:lncRNA from 14 species
UCCCCCUGAGGCAGUCUCUGUUUUCAUGUGGACUUCUCUUUUAUUCUCUUCAGAGAAGGAGCCUGGAAUGCUACUUACGAGGGACCCAGAAAGACAGACCUCCAGAGUGCUUCAGGGAGAGUGAAAUCUUAAGAGGAGAUAUUUUCUUCUCAGUAAUCUGGAAUGAGGAAGUUUCCAAGAUCUUGGAGCUCCAGUAGUCGUUUCUCAAUCUAGUGAAGACCAUUCGGAGGGGCUGCACUGGAACGUGGCUGCUCAGUGAAUGAUGAGACUCGGCAUGAGGCUGGGUGAAAUUCAGGCGAGCUCUGUUGUGUGGAGGCUGUUGUUCAACAUUGGCCCCUUCAGGUUCUCAGACACAUGGAUGGAGACACCACAAGACAAGUGAUGAAGCUUUCAGGAUGCUGGAGAAAAGGGCUGCCUUGCCUGGCCUCAGUGGGAGAGGAUGAGCCUAACCCUGCAGAGACUAUUCCAGAAGCGCGUGCCGAAUGUGUCCUGUGGAAUUUUUCUGGGAGCUGACUAUCUGAAUUUGGAGCACCAGAACCUGCUGUAUCUGAGGACUUUUUCAUUUUCCCUACAGAGAAGUAAUCUGAACACACAUAACAUUAAGCUUUUAAGGUCACAAUACCCACAUUCUUACAUUUUGGACUAGACUCAACUGUCAUUUGAUUGUUGUGUCAAGUUUUGAACCCCUUUAAGAAGAAAGCACUGUGCUUUUAGUGUUGUUCC